GGGCUGCAACCUGACUUAUAGGAGCGGAGCGCAAGUCGGCCUAGCCAAUGCGCAUGCGCGGUGCACGAGCUGAUUCUCAAGGCACAGUGACCCCCACCGUCGCUCGAGUGAUGGGUCCAUGAGGCUGGGCGAAGAAGGAACCCACUGUGGCAGUGCGUCGGUAUCAAGGCUCCAGCCUGACCUCUCCCAGGGGUCAACAGGAUGGUCUCCGGACGCCAGGAGUCGCGGAGGGCCGACCAGGUUUGUGAAGGCCGGGUUGACCUGGGGAGCUGCGUUGGACCCACAGCGAUUGAAACCUCCCCAUCCUGGGCAUCCUACUUUCGAGAAUCAAGACAACCACACCACACCCAAGGACCAAAGCCUCCCAGGAGCUUAUUGUCCUGCAGGAGUGCGUGCAGACCAACAUCAAAGAAGAUGGUUCUAACUCCUCCCACCUCCCACCCUCUCCUCUCAUUAAGAAAGGUAGCCCCACCGCGACAAUCUUGGAGGAGAAGCCGGGAACGGGACGUAGCAAGGAUCUCUGUGACUUAAAUCUGGCCUUUCUGGCCCAGUCUCCCAUUUGGCACUUCUUCCCGGAUGUGCAUGGUAGUGGCAUUGUGCUGUAUCCUGCCUGGGCUGUGGCCUCUGCUCUGUACUCCCUCUUGCUCUAUCUGCCAUAGGAGCCUAGAGGCUUGGUCUGGCUUAAAGUCUUCAACAAAGAA
rnacentral:lncRNA from 1 species